rnacentral:rRNA from 1 species
UACGUAGGGGGCUAGCGUUGUCCGGAAUCGUUGGGCGUAAAGCGUGCGUAGGUGGUUUGUUAAGUCUGUUGUGAAAGCCCCGGGCUCAACCUGGGAAUGGCAAUGGAUACUGGCAAGCUAGAGUGCGGUAGAGGGUAGUGGAAUUCCCGGUGUAGCGGUGAAAUGCGCAGAUAUCGGGAAGAACACCCAUGGCGAAGGCAGCUCUCUGGGACGGUACCGACGCUGAGACGCGAAAGCGUGGGGAGCGAACAGG